rnacentral:rRNA from 1 species
CACCGGCGGCUCGAGUGGUGGCCCCUUUUAUUGGGGCUAAAGCGUCCGUAGCCGGCUUGGCAAGUCCCCUGGGAAAUCUGGCGGCUUAACCGUCAGGCGUCCAGAGGAUACUGCCAGGCUUGGGACCGGGAGAGGUGAGAGGUACCUCAGGGGUAGGGGUGAAAUCUUGUGAUCCCUGAGGGACCACCAGUGGCGAAGGCGUCUCACUAGAACGGGUCCGACGGUGAGGGACGAAGGCCGGGGGAGCAAACCGG